GAUGAACGCUGGCGGCGUGCCUAAUACAUGCAAGUCGAGCGAAGCGGGGACGGGUGAGUAACACGUGGAUAACCUCCUAUAAGACUGGGAUAACUUCGGGAAACCGGAGCUAAACCGGAUACUUAUCGAUGGAUCCGCGCUGCAUUAGCUAGUUGGUAAGGUAACGGCUUACCAAGGCAACGAUGCAUAGCCGACCUGAGAGGGUGAUAGGCAAAACGGGAACUGAGAAACGGGACAGAAUCAUACGGGAGGCAGCAGUAGGGAAUCUUGCGCAAUGGGCGAAAGCCUGACGGAGCAACGCCGCGUGAGUGAUGAAGGUCGUCGGAUCGUAAAACUCUGUUAGUAGGGAAGCGGUACCUAAUCAGAAAGCCACGGCUAACUACGUGCCAGCAGCCGCGGUAAUUC
rnacentral:rRNA from 1 species